AAAGCAUUUUAUAGUCCCAUGAUUAGGUUCUCAGUGUUUUAUUGAAACUAAGUUGGGUAUUUAUUUCCCUUCCCCAAGGUUGUUAGGGCUUUGGUAAAACCCUCUUCUGAUAGGUUCUGGUAAAAUAGUUUCCCUUGAGGCAGGCCUUGUUAAGAAUAGAAAACCCUUGGUGUGUUUCAAAAUGGUGACUUUACUCCUCCCUCUACCAGAGCAGCUGGGGAUUUUUCUCUGGUCUUCACAGGAGAACCUGAUGGGCCUCCUGUAGGUAAAACUCAAGAAAGUGUGGGUGCGCCCCUAAGACUGGACCCCCUCAGAGUAUUUAAUUCUCAAGUUAGUUGACACUAAGCCUCCAGAAGUUUGUUAAUUACAGUUUCAAGUAUUCCUCCAGAUAGUGGCUGCAGCUUCAGGCUUCUGCUCCCACUAAGCUGUGAUUGUCUGUAUCUGCAUGUCUAUCUCUCCAGUUUUAGUGGCUGCAGUUUGCUCUAUUACCAUAAUUCUUUGAUGGUUCCAAGAAGAGUUGUUGAUUUUCGGUUUGUUCGGUAUUUUUCUUGUUGUGAGGAUGGUAAUGAUGACCUCCACAUUGUUUACUUGGGCCCUGAAGUUUGAUACCUCUAUUUUUAAAGUAUUUUAUAGUCAGUUUUGUGCUUAAGAUAAAAUUAAGAGGCCAGGCAUUGUGGCUCAUGCCUAUAGUCCCAGUGCUUUGUGGCACUAAGACAGGAGGAGUGCCUGAAGCUAGGAGUUUAAGACCAGCCUGAACAACAUAGUGAGAACCUAUAUCUACAAAAAAAUAAAAAUAUUAGCUGGGUGUGGUGGUGCAUGUGUGUAGUCCCAGCUACUUGAGAGGCUGAGGCAGGAGACUCACUUGAGCCCAGGAGUUUGAGGUUACAGUGAACUACGAUCAUGCCACUGCCCACCAGCCUGGGUGACAGAGCAAGACCCUGUCUCCAAAAAAAAGAAAAAAAGGUUAAUUUAGUAAUUAAAAGUUUUGUGUUAUAUAUGGAUAUUAAACUAAUGGUAAUUUUGUAUUAUAAAUAUUUACAUAUUCCUUUUUAGCCUGCCCUGAAAGCAUCCCACAGCAUGGGCUCAUCCUAGUUUUUGCCACCAGAGGCAAUUUCCUUAUAUUAAUGUGCCCAUGAAGUAUCAUCUGUAGUUCUACCAGUUUUUCUUAACAUUUCUUCAAUGCAUCUCCUCCUUUUUCCCCUUCAUUAUUGGAUGACUGUCUUAUUCCAGAGCCUUAUCACCUUGGAUAUGGGUUCUAAUUAGUAUCUCUUUCUCCUGCCUGGCCACUUUACAACCAUCCUGAGUGAUCUUUCUAAAAUGUAAACCUUAAGAAAUUCUCUUCUCUAAAUACUUCAUUGAGAUGAUUGGUAAACCUGUUAUUAGUAAAAUAGAAGUUCUUUCUUUGGCAAGAUAUACAUAUAAGGCCCCCCUAUUGAGAGGUGAAGCCAGCUGGACUUCCUGGGUCAAGUGGGGACUUGGAGAACUUUUCUGUCUAGCUGAAGGAUUGUAAAUGCACCAAUCAGCACUCUGUAAAAAUGUACCAAUCAGCACUCUGUGUCUAGCUAAAGGAUUGUCAAUGCACCAAUCAGCACUCUGUAAAAACGCACCAAUCAGUGCUCUGUGUCUAGCUAAAGGAUUGUAAACACACCAACCAGCACUCUGUGAAAUGGACCAAUCAGCUCUCUGUAAAAUGGACCAAUCAGCAGGAUGUGGGCGGGGCCAAAUAAGGGAAUAUAAGCUGGCCAACUGAGCCAGCAGCGGCAACCCUGUUGGGUCCCCUUCAAUGCCGUGGACGGUUUGUUCUUUUGCUCUUCACAAUAAAUCUUACUGCUGCUCACUCUUUGGGUCCUCACUACCUUUAUGAGGUGUAACACUCACCACAAGGGUCUAUAGCUUCAUUCCUGAAGUCAGCAAGACCACGAACCCAUCAGAAGGAAGAAACUCUGGACACGUAUGAACAUCUGAAGGAACAAACUCCAGACAUACCAUCUUUAAGAACUGUAACACCAUGAGGGUCUGCGGCUUCAUUCUUGAAGUCAGCAAGACCAAGAACCCACCAGAAGGAACCAAUUCCGGACACACUGUCUUCUGAGACAAACAUUCAGAUCAGGCAUUUGUUCUUCUGGGAAGCUGUCUUUGGUAUCCUUCCCUUACUACAGAUGCCCCAAAUAACUACAGAAGUUAUCCUCUUCUGUUCUAUCACUGUCUUGUUCACUGUUCUGUAAUAUAGUGUGUUCGUCACAAUGAUUGUAAUUUUUAAAUUAUAUGUGUGUAUACCCUAAUACAGUUGUUAUUUGGCUUUCCAUUCCAUCAC
rnacentral:lncRNA from 1 species